GACGAACGCUGGCGGCGGGCUUAACACAUGCAAGUCGAACGGAAAGGCCCGGGUGUUGUGGGGUGCUCGAGUGGCGAACGGGUGAGUAACACGUGAGUAACCUGCCCUUGACUUUGGGAUAACUUCAGGAAACUGGGGCUAAUAGCGGAUAGGAGCUCCUGGUGCAGGGUGGGGGUUGGAAGGUUUCGGCGGUUGGGGAAGGACUCGCGGCGUAUCAGCUUGUUGGUGGGGUGGUGGCAUACCAAGGCUUUGACGGGUUGCCGGGCUGGUAGGGUGACCGGCCAAGUUGGGAUUGGGCUGAGGCCCAGCCCCCACCGGGAGGCAGCAGAGGGGAAUGUUGUACAAUGGACUGAAGGCUGAUGCAGCAACGCCGCGUGGGGGAUGACGGCCUGCGGGUUGUAUUCCACUUCCGCCUGUGACGAAGCGUGAGUGACGGUAAUGGGUAAAGAAGCACCGGCUAACUACGUG
rnacentral:rRNA from 1 species